rnacentral:ncRNA from 1 species
CCUGCUGAACUUGAGCGUAUCAAUAAGGGGAGGAAAAGAAACCAGCAGGGAUUGCCUCAGUAACGGCGAGUGAAGCAGCAAAGGCUCAAAUUUGAAACCCUCAGGGAAUUGUAAUUUGAAGGUGGUCUCAGCUAGUUCAAACAUUCUCAAGUCCAUUGGAAAAUGGCGCCAUGGAGGGUGAUAGCCCCGCGAAGAAUCCAUUUUCUUUGACCACCAAAGAGUCGAGUUGUUUGGGAAUGCAGCUCUAAGUGGGUGGUAAAUUCCAUCUAAAGCUGGAUAUUGGUGAGAGACCGAUAGCGAACAAGUACAGUGACGGGAAGAUGAGAAGCACAUUGAGAGAGUGAAAAAGUAUGUGUAGUUGUUGAAAGGGAAGGGCUUGCAAGCAGACACAACCUUCUGGUUGGACCAGCAUCGGGGCGAGGGGAGUAAAACAGAAAAGGAAUUCUAGCUCUCGAGUAUUAUAGACCUUUUCCACUUCCACAAAUUCCAUCUCAUCCCGAGGCCUGUGGUUAUGUUAGGAUGCUGGCGUAAUGGUUGCAAGUCGCCCGUCUUGAAACACGG